rnacentral:lncRNA from 1 species
GAGACAAUGACUUGGCCCAGCAGCUAGCAGUUCUCUGUGGCAGAGAGAUCCCUGGGCCCAUCCGGUCUACUGAGAGUACACAUUCAUCCGCUUCACCUUGGACUCCAGUGUAACCAGGGCAGGCUUCAAUGCAUCCUUUCACAAGAGCUGCGGCGGAUAUUUGCAUGCAGACACGGGAUCAUUACGUCCCCCAAGUAUCCGGAGACCUACCCAUCCAACCUCAACUGUUCUUGGCACGUCCUGGUCCAAAGUGGCCUGACCAUUGCUGUCCAUUUUGAACAGCCUUUCCGAGAUUCUUCUUGCAACCAGGGGGAUUACUUGGUGCUAAGAAAUGGUCCUGAUAUCUAUCCUCCACCCUUCGGACCCUGUGGAGGAAAUGUUCAUUUUUGUGGCAGUCGUGCUUCAUCGACUCUGUUCACCUCGGAUAAUCAAAUGUUUGUUCAGUUUAUUUCUGAUUAGAGUAAUGAAGGGCAAGGAUUUCAGAUCAAAUAUGGGGAAAAGAGUUUACCCUGUGGGGGCAACAUCUACAUCCAUGAAGCUGAUUCUGCUGGGUAUGUGACCUCCCCCAGCCACCCUGAUAAUUAUCCCCCUGCACGCUGAUUGCAUUUGGAUCUUAGCGGUUCCACCGGAAACACGCAUACGGCUGCAAUUUGAAGGUCAAUUCGAUAUUGAAGUAACACCCAACUGUACUUCUAACUACCUCUAGUUGUGGGAUGGAGUGGAUUCAGAUGCACCAAUACUUUCCAAAUUUUGUGGGACAUCUUUGCCCAGCAGUCAGUGGUCCUUAGGAGAGGUUAUGUAUUUGAGAUUUCGAUCUGACAACAGCCCCAAUCAUAUGGGAUUCAAGGUCAAGUAUUCUAUAGCUCAGUGUGGGGGGAAGAGUAACAGGGCAAAGUGGUGUUGUUGAAAGCAUUGGCCAUCUAACGCUUCCAUAUAGAGACAACUUAUUCUGUGAGUGGCAUCUCCAGGGGCUCUCCAGACACUAUCUCACCAACUCUUUCGAAGAUUUUAACCUUCAGAAUUCCUCUGGCUGUGAAAAAGACUUUGUGGAGAUCUGGGACUAUCAUACUUCUGGAAACAUCUUGGGAAGAUACUGUGCAAACACCAUUCCUGACAGCAUAGACACUUCUAGCAAUACUGCCGUGGUCAGGUUUGUCAUAGACGGCUCUCUGACUGCCUCAGGAUUCAGACUGCAAUUUGAAUCCAGCAUGGAAGAGUGUGGUGGGGAUCUCAGGGCUCUGCUGGAACAUCUACUUCUCCCAACUACCCGAACCUAAAUCCUCAUGGCCGGAUCUACGAGUGGAGAAUCACCGCCCCAGAAGGAAGGCAGAUCACCCUAACGUUUAGCAACCUGAGGCUGGCCACGCAUCUGUCCUGCAACAGUGAGCAUGUGAUAGUAUUCAAUGGCAUUAGAAGUAACUCACCCCAGCUAGAGAAACUGUGUAGUAGUGUGAAUGUAAGCAGUGAGAUUAAAUCUUCAGGAAACACAAUGAAAGUCAUUUUUUUCACAGAUGGAUCUAGGCCGUAUGGAGGAUUCACUGCUUCUCAUACCUCCAGUGAAGAUGCAGAUAAAUGUGUGGUGGGUCUCUUCCAAAUACUCCUGAAGGAAACUUUACUUCUCCUGGCUAUGAUGGAGUCAGGAAUUACUCGAGAAACCUAAACUGUGAAUGGACUCUCAGCAAUCCAAAUCAGGGAAAUUCAUCUAUUUAUAUUCAUUUUGAAGAUUUUUACCUAGAAAGUCACCAAGACUGUCAAUUUGAUGUCCUUGAGUUUCGAGUGGGUGA